rnacentral:lncRNA from 1 species
GUGUGCUUGCAGAGACUUCUGCCACAGGGGCUGGAACACAGGAAGCACAUGGCCGCACCAGCAGAGGUGUCUUUGCCUGUGACUCUCCACACAAAUGAGGGUCCUUUCCUCUUGAGAACCUGUGUCUUCACGCUGGCGCACUCUGGCUGAGUUCUCCUAACCUGGACCUGGGACCACAUGCCAUUAAGCACAUGUACCACACAUGGCAGGCAUAUCUGCACAGGGCAUUCUGAGGCCACAGGAGGAAUGAGGUUUGUUCUCUACUGGAAUGACAGUGGGAGUGGCAAGCCAUUUCUUCUCCCACUGCCAAUGCAGAGACACCCAUGCUGUCUCUGGCCUCCUGGAAUCAGCUUCCAGCUUCACUGGUUGCUGUUUGGUGCCAGAAGACUGCCUGUGACAGGAGAACAGCCUGGAGAACCCAGUCUUUUCUGGAAUUGUUCUUGCUCAGGUGGCAGACAGGGGCCACUCUCGAAGAAUCUGGCUUUUCCUCACAAGUCAGCAGUUCCCCUAGAGAAGAAACACCCGGGCUUGGCCAGCUUUGCUGGGCUGCUUGCCAUUCUCCUCUCACUUCACAUUCUGUCCUGCACUUUGUGCCAUGCCAUUUUCUUUCUCAGUGGAAUUCAAGCUCUGUGUAUACAGCAAGACGGAGGAGCGGCUGGUGGCACUCUCUGCAGUGGCAGAUGA